GACGAACGCUGGCGGCGUGCCUAAUACAUGCAAGUAGAACGCUGAAGGAGGAGCUUGCUUCUCUGAAUGAGUUGCGAACGGGUGAGUAACGCGUAGGUAACCUGCCUGGUAGCGGGGGAUAACUAUUGGAAACGAUAGCUAAUACCGCAUAAUAGUAGAUGUUGCAUGACAUUUGCUUAAAAGGUGCAAUUGCAUCACUACCAGAUGGACCUGCGUUGUAUUAGCUAGUUGGUGGGGUAACGGCUCACCAAGGCGACGAUACAUAGCCGACCUGAGAGGGGGAUCGGCCACACUGGGACUGAGACACGGCCCAGACUCCUACGGGAGGCAGCAGUAGGGAAUCUUCGGCAAUGGACGGAAGUCUGACCGAGCAACGCCGCGUGAGUGAAGAAGGUUUUCGGAUCGUAAAGCUCUGUUGUAAGAGAAGAACGAGUGUGAGAGUGGAAAGUUCACACUGUGACGGUAUCUUACCAGAAAGGGACGGCUAACUACGUG
rnacentral:rRNA from 1 species